rnacentral:misc_RNA from 1 species
UAAUUGUUAUAAUUGUGGUCUAGUUUUUUGUCAUUCAUGCAGCAGCAAAAAGUCACUUAAGGCUUCCAUGGCACCAAAUCCCAAUAAACCUUAUCGUGUCUGUGAUAAUUGUUGUAAUAAAUUGAAAAAGGUUAUUGAAACUGAUGCUUCAUCUGAGGCUUCCAUGAGUCGAAGAGGAAGCCUGAACCAGGGGUUAACUGAUGACAUAGAUAAAACUACUAAGCUGGAUAUAAGGUCUCGACCUCAUCUAACUAGAUUUUCUUCGAUGGAAUCCUUCAAACAAGUUGAAACCCGCUCUUCCAAACAGAAGAAAAAGUUUGAAUUCAACAGCAGUCGUGUGUCACCUAUUCCUAGUAGUAACUCACAAUUGGGAGCUCUGAAUAGUUCCAAAUCUUCCAAUCAAGUGUUUGCCUCAUCCAAAAAGUUCUUCUCUGCUUCAGUUCCUGGUUCAAGGAUUGUUUCUCGAGCAACAUCACCAACAUCUAGACGGGCCAGUCCACCUCGUUCUACUACACCAACUCCAACAUUGGGUGGACUUACAUCUCCAAGGAUUGUAGUGGAUGAUGCUAAAAGGACAAAUGGAAGUCUUAGUCAAGAGGUUGCUAAAUUAAGAGCACAGGUGGAAACUCUUACACGCAAGGCUCAACUUCAAGAGGUAGAACUGGAAAGAACUAGUAAGCAACUGAAGGAG